rnacentral:rRNA from 1 species
CGCGUAGGCGGGCCGGCCGGUCGGAGGUGAAAGCCCCCAGCUUAACUGGGGAAGUGCCCCCGAUACCGCCGGCCUUGAGGGGGUAGGGGCGUGCGGAACUUCCGGUGGAGCGGUGAAAUGCGUAGAUAUCGGAAGGAACACCGGUGGCGAAGGCGGCACGCUGGGCCCGCCCUGACGCUGAGGCGCGAAAGCCAGGGGAGCGAACG